UCAAGCUACUAAGGGCAUACGGCGGAUGCCUAGGCGCCAUCAGCCGAUGAAGGACGCGGUAAGCUGCGAAAAGCUACGGGGAACUGCAAGCAAGUAUUGAUCCGUAGAUGUCCGAAUGGGGAAACCCACCUGCCGUCAUGGGCAGGUAUCCGAAAGGAAGGGAACCCGGGGAACUGAAACAUCUAAGUACCCGGAGGAAGAGAAAUCAAACGAGAUGCCCACAGUAGCGGCGAGCGAAGAGGGCAGAGGGCAAACCGGUGAGCUACGGCUCGCCGGGGUUGAGGACUGCAUUUAGUCUCAAUGGUCUAUCCGAACUACCUGGAAAGGUAGGCAAUACAGUGUAAAAGCCACGUAGGUUAAAGACCGGAGAGAUGAGCAGUAUCCAGAGUACCACGAGGCACGAGGAAUCUUGUGGGAAGCCGGGGGGACCACCCUCCAACCCUAAACACUGAAUGGCGACCGAUAGCGCAUAGUACCGUGAGGGAAAGGUGAAAAGAACCCCGGGAGGGGAGUGAAAGAGAACCUGAAACCGUAUGUCUACAAGCAGUCGGAGCGAAAGCGACGGCGUGCCUAUUGAAGAAUGAACCAACGAGUUACGUGCACUAGCGAGGUUAAGUGGAAGACACGGAGCCGAAGCGAAAGCGAGUCUUAAUAGGGCGGAUAGUUAGUGUACGUAGACCCGAAACCGCAGUGAUCUACCCAUGUCCAGGUUGAAGCGCAGGUAAAAUUGCGUGGAGGACCGAACCUGUGAGCGUUGAAAAGCUUUAGGAUGAGAUGUGGGUAGAGGUGAAAUUCCAAUCGAACGCGGAGAUAGCUGGUUCUCCCCGAAAUAGCUUUAGGGCUAGCCUCAAGUAGUAAGUAUAGGCGGUAGAGCACUGAUCGGGCUAGGGGCCAUAAAGGUUACCGAACCCUGUCAAACUCCGAAUGGUUAUACUGUAGAGCUUGGGAGUCAGACUACGAGUGAUAAGAUCCGUGGUCAAAAGGGAAACAGCCCAGACCACCAGCUAAGGUCCCCAAUGUCGUACUAAGUGGAAAAGGAUGUGGGGUCUCUAAAACAACCAGGAUGUUGGCUUAGAAGCAGCCACCAUUUAAAGAGUGCGUAAUAGCUCACUGGUCGAGAGACCCUGCGCCGAAGAUUACCGGGGCUAAAGUACGAAACCGAAGCUGUGGCUACGACAUAUGUCGUGGGGUAGGGGAGCGUUCUGUGAGGGCUGAAGUCGUUCUGUAAGGAACGGUGGACUUCACAGAAGUGAGAAUGUUGGUAUGAGUAGCGAAAAGAAUGGUGAGAAUCCAUUCCACCGAAAGCAUAAGGAUUCCUGGGCAACGAUCGUCGUCCCAGGGUAAGUCGGGACCUAAUCCGAGGCAUGGAGCGUAGGAGAUGGACAACUGGCAGAUAUUCCAGUACCGGUAAUGAUUGUUUGAGCGAUGGAGUGACACAGGAGGGCAGGCAGGCAGGAGAUUGGUUGUUCCUGUACAAGCGUGUAGGAUGGGACGCAGGCAAAUCCGCGUCCUGUGAGUCUGAGGCGUGAUGUGGAGGUUCCGGAAACGGAACCGAAGCUGCUGACCCCACACUGUCGAGAAAAGCUUCUAGUUAGAGAAUUACCGCCCGUACCGUAAACCGACACAGGUAUGCGGGGAGAGAAUCCUAAGGUGCGCGGGAGAACCCUCGUUAAGGAACUCGGCAAAAUGUACCCGUAACUUCGGGAUAAGGGUAGCCGCUGUUGUGAAGUCUGAACAGACGGAGCAUGAGGCGGUCGCAGAGAAGAGGCCCAAGCGACUGUUUACCACAAACACAGGUGCCUGCUAAAGAGAAAUCUGACGUAUAGGUGCUGACACCUGCCCAGUGCCGGAAGGUUAAGGAAGGAUGUCCGGAGCAAUCCAAAGCAUUCGACCGAAGCCCCGGUGAACGGCGGCCGUAACUAUAACGGUCCUAAGGUAGCGAAAUUCCUUGUCGGGUAAG
rnacentral:rRNA from 1 species